rnacentral:rRNA from 1 species
AUGAACGCUGGCGGCGUGCCUAAUACAUGCAAGUCGAACGUGAUCCACGUCUUCGGAGGUGGUGAAAGUGGCGUCCGGGUGAGUAACACGUAGCUGACCUGCCCUUCGCUGGGGGAUAACGUUCCGAAAGGAAUGCUAAUACCGCGUACGCUCGUGAGAAUUAGAAACUCACGAGGAAAGCUUUAUGUGGCGAAGGAGGGGGCUGCGCUCCAUCAGCUAGUUGGUGAGGUAAUGGCUCACCAAGGCGACGACGGAUAGGGGACCUGAGAGGGUGACCCCCCACACUGGGACUGACAUACGGCCCAGACUCCUACGGGAGGCAGCAGUAAGGAAUAUUGCGCAAUGGAGGCAACUCUGACGCAGCAACGCCGCGUGCGGGAUGAAGGUCUUCGGAUCGUAAACCGCUUUUGUGAGGGAAGAGACAGGACGGUACCUCACGAAUAAGUCUCGGCUAACUACGU